GGGGAAUAUUGGACAAUGGGCGAAAGCCUGAUCCAGCCAUGCCGCGUGAGUGAUGGAGGCCCUAGGGUUGUAAAGCUCUUUUGUGCGGGAAGAUAAUGACGGUACCGCAAGAAUAAGCCCCGGCUAACUUCGUGCCAGCAGCCGCGGUAAUACGAAGGGGGCUAGCGUUGCUCGGAAUCACUGGGCGUAAAGGGUGCGUAGGCGGGUUUCUAAGUCAGAGGUGAAAGCCUGGAGCUCAACUCCAGAACUGCCUUUGAUACUGGAAGUCUUGAGUUCGGGAGAGNUGAGUGGAACUGCGAGUGUAGAGGUGAAAUCCGUAGAUAUUCGCAAGAACACCAGUGGCGAAGGCGGCUCACUGGCCCGAUACUGACGCUGAGGCACGAAAGCGUGGGGAGCAAACA
rnacentral:rRNA from 1 species